GAUCAUUGAGCCUGCCCCUCAAUUGGGUAGCUCUUCUACUCCGCUCUUGGAUGAUCCCAUGAUCAAAGAGCUUAUUCGCAUCGGAUCCCAAUUCAUUGGGUACCGUGAGUAUGCCAGCAGAACUGAAGAGAAACUUGCAGAGGCCAACAAGCUUGCCGACACUCUUGCUCAAAAACUGGAGCAAAGUGAAGCGGCCCGCAAGAAAGCCGAACUUGUUGCUAGCGAAGCCAAAGCAGAGGCUAAUGAAGCCAAGGCAAAAGCUGCUAGUGUCGAGGAACUGCA